GUGCUCGCUUCGGCAGCACAUACUGGAACGAUAACAGAGAAGAUUAGCAUGGCCCCUGCGCCAGGAUGAUACGCAAAUUCGUGAAGCGUUCCGUAUUUUA
rnacentral:snRNA from 1 species